UCAUCAUCAUCAUCAAUAAAA
rnacentral:sRNA from 1 species